rnacentral:sRNA from 1 species
UACUAGCCCUGAUGGAAACGGCUAUCCUUUUUGUUAUUGCAAUUAUUGGAAAGUUCUUUGUCCUGCGACCUUUCUUUGCAAUAGCAAAAAGAUAAUAGUGGACAGCAGGUUCCCGG